rnacentral:misc_RNA from 1 species
GUUUUUCAUUUAUGUCAUUUGGCAGCCCACAAUCGGACGGAGAUUCGUCCAAGAAACCCUAUUUUACACUAGGAAAGAACCUUGUCCUUGGGAGGCCAGGUGAUUCUCCCUCCCCACGUGCGUCUCCUCGGCCACCAUCUCCACGAGCACCUCCGUCGCCGCGUCUCCUCAGCCGCCAUCUCCGCGAGCACCUCCGCUGCCGCAUCUCCUCAGCUGCCAUCUCCACGAGCACCUCUGCCGCCUCUCCAACAUAUUCUCCGACGCUAUCCCCUUUCCCUCGACAAGGUAGUGUGGCUACCAGAGAGUUAAAUUUCACAUCAACCUUUGUUGAUCUUCCUCCACCUUCAGCUCCAUCCAGGAGUGUGUCUGCACAAAGUCUCAAUCCCUUGGUACUAAUUCACUUGAUUUGGAUGGACAAGAAACCACAAGUGUCUUCAAUCUAUCUUCUGAUGCUCAAUAUGUCCCAGUCAAUACUAAUGAACCCACUGAAGCUCAAUUUGUCCCAUCUAAUCAAGAAUCAAGCCAGAGAGAAGGUGGCAGUGGGAGAAAGUGUAAGCAAAGCCAUGUUGGAUUAGCUCUUGAAAGUUAUGUGGAGUUUAAAAAGAUCCAAAAUACAGAAACACUUGAAACUCUUAAAGAACAUAAGAGGCAAGAGGAUCAAUUUUCUAUUAGCAAGUGCCAGGUUGAAUUGAAAGGAAUGGAUGGAUUAACAACCAUGAACAAAUCAUAUGCUUUGGAGCUUUUCGUAUCUGCGACAAACCGAGAGAUGUUCUUAACAACAACAGAACAUGAUGUUAGAGAAAUUUGGCUCAAACGCAAAAUUAGGUUGCUUCGGGGGAGUGAUGCAUGGACUGAACAAAUGAUAUGAGCAAAAUUGAUUGAUAAUACUCGAAUCAUCGCUAGGUUAUCCAAGCCAUCAGCUUGUCUUUGCAAUCACACUCUACCAAAGUUUGUGUUCAUUCUUCUCCAAAUAAAUGUUGAUUGACGUUGGCUUGAGAUACUGAUCCCAGAAUGAGAUCAUUGCCAUGGUGGCAAUUCCAAUGAAAACCUCUGGGCAUGAUCGUAAUGCACCAUCUGAUCAACAGACUGUGUGAAAGACAAACUCAGAAGCCCCAGCUCGUACUCCACACCUAUCACUCAAGCAGCAGAUCAGAACUGAUACCUCAUCUACAUCACAGAAGACCAAGCUAUGUCAAACAUGACAGCAGUUCCUUUUGACUGCUGAGGAAACCAUACACCUGUUUCAAGUUUCCUCUAGAUGGCCGUGCGUUUACAGCAAAUUUACAGAUGAAUACCAGCCUCCUCCUCAUCUCCAACUUUGUAACAUCUCUUUUGACAAAAUAAUUUCCAUAGUCAAAGCAUCCUUGAAAG